AAUAGGGAUGAUUUAAAAAUAAACCUAAUUUAUAUAGCACAUGCUAAAAUACAAUCAAAUCUCACAAAGUGCUUCACCAAAUAAGUAACAUCGAUCAUUAAUAAAUACAUUUCAAUCAGCUUAUUAAAACUAACAAUUUGAUUGGGGUAAAUGGUCUGAAAUGCAUUAGACAUUAGUGGAAGACAAAAUUUAUUUUUAUUGUCAUCAGUUUAAUGUAGCCUAUAUAUUUUUUUUUUCAUUUUGCUUGCACGGAUCAUUUUAACGCUCAAACUGACUUCCUACACUAGUCCAUGUUCUCUCUAGGGAAGCUCGUUUUAAAUUCUGAGCAGUGAGCCCGCUGUAAAAUAAACUUUUACUUGUUUGUUAUUUUAGGAUAUUAUUCUGUCAGUAUAAAAGUAUUCAAGUUGUCAUGAUAACACAACAUUACUAGUUAGUAACAUAUCUACGACAAAUAAAACUAAUCUGAAAAUUGAAAAAGUUGAUUUAUGUAAUGUGUGAAGUUAAAUUGUUACAAUCAGCCAGUUGCCAAUCCUCGAAAACGUAAAACAAUUUAAUUGAAAUAAUUUUCCAGACUUUGUCGCACGAGUGACAUUACUAACGUUAGUUACUUCUGCUCCAUUCACUGGGACUUUAGUCUUCUCUGCCUGUGUGUGUCUACUUCAGCGGUUGCUGGUUUGAACUCGCUAACGUGUGCGCUAACGUACGUGCUAACGCACUCUAGCUAACAAACAUACUACGCUAACUAACGUUACUGGACUGUGCAUCUCGGACCAGCCGAGGAGCACACGGGAUAGUAUUCCACUUGCUAGCUAGCUGUUCAACUGAGAAAAGGGCAGCUAACGAACCUACACUAGCUAACGUUACUUGAUUGUGCAUCUCUGACCAGCCGAGGAGCACGGGGGAUAGUAUUCCACUAGCUAGCUAGCUUGUUCAACUGAGAAAAGGGCGGCUACCGAACCUACGCUAGCUAACAUAAGUUAAUGGUGCAUGCUUGAAACCGCGAUUGUCUUUUCAGUCAAACAAUCUAGCUAGCUAGUUAAGUAAAAAAAACGGCCUCCCGUGCUUCUCGGCUGGUCCAGGAGCAGCGCCAGGUGUUUCUGCAUCAAGCUUGUCGUGACUCGCAGUUCUGUGGCAUUUCUAUUAAUUUUUUGCAAGUCAUUCUGUUCAUUCAUUUUUGUGUACAGCUGGAACUUUCCAUCUAUAAACGUUGUAUAAAAAUAAUUGAAAACAUGUCAUUUUAAGGCAGUGUUAGCUGUAGUUAUUGAUCAUGUUUUGGUAAGCUACUAGUAACUUAACUUGUUAUAUUAAGUAUAAGCAAUUCCCUUUUUAAAGUUUUAGAUGGUGGUCUGAACUUUGUAAUUUCUUUUCUUUGCCUUUUAGAUUGCUGGUUCCAAAAUCAUCUGGAUUUGCAAGUUGUGCGCAGCUUCUUUCGCCUCCAGAAUACAGACAGACUAUAGUGAUGUCCUGCCCACCAGUGAGCGAGCUCAGGAACCUCUGGCAUGCUCUCAAAAUAGAGAAUGAGUUGUAUACAGAGUUCCAGCGGAUAAUGAAUCGGAACCUGCCCAACACAUUCUAUGCUGAGCUUGACCGCCAUCUUCCUCGACUGAUGACCUUAUUCAGACAUAAGGCAUCAAAAACUGGGAAGACAGCAGAUGCUCUAGUUGAAAUUUUAAAAAAUCCACGAUGAACAGGAAAUCCGUGACAUCCACACCAAGCGCACUACUGUUCUCCACGCCCUUCCUGUGUAUCGGAGAGGAUGCUUCUGGAUUUUUCAGAACCUGCACAGACAAGUCUGAUGAGCCAGAGCUUGACGGUGUUGCAGUGGGCCUCCUGUCAGUGACCAUGACACAAGUCCAGUUCACUACAACCCUGUGAGAAUAUCUGUCAUCAUUGAAAGUGAUGCCAUGGUCAGCCUCCCCUGACUUGUUGAUGCCUUGCUGGUAAUCUUUGGACUGAUCUAUGCACUACACCUCAGCUACCCCAAAGCACUGACCAACACUUUUGAAUUCACUGAAAAGAUACUUGGUCUAGAAAGUGGUAAACUGUCACCCAAGUUGCAGACCCUCAAGAAUGACUUGAUUCAGAAACGCAUCUGAAAGAAGUCUGCAGGGAAAGCUUUAUAAAAGGCUAGUUCAAAGUUCAAGGGGAAAUGUUCUAUAGAGUUUUUGUAAUUUCAUCCAAAUUGCUGCCCUGUUGCCUUAUGCAUUCAUUUUGCAUGUAGGCAAGGCAAGGCAAUUUUAUUUGUAUAACGCUUUUCAUACACAAGGCAGACU